ensembl:lncRNA
CAGGGUUAGGGAUAUAGUGACAGGGUUAGGGUUAUAGUGACAGGGUUAGGGUUAUAGUGACAGGGUUAGGGAUAUAGUGACAGUGUUAGGGUUAUAGUGACAGGGUUAGGGAUAUAGUGACAGGUUUAGGGUUACAGUGACAGGGUUAGGGUUAUAGUGACAGGGUUAGGGUUGUAGUGACAGGGUUAGGGAUAUAGUGACAGGGACAAGGACAGGGUUAUAGUGACAGGGUUAGGGUUAUAGUGACAGGGUUAGGGUUAUAGUGACAGGGUUAGAUUAUAGUGACAAGGUUAGGGUUAGUUUGACAGGGUUAUGGAUAUAGUGACAGGGUUAGGGUUGUAGUGACAGGGUUAGGGAUAUAGUGACAGGGACAAGGACAGGGUAAUAGUGACAGGGUUAGGUUAUAGUGACAGGGUUAGGGUUAGGGUUAGGGUUAGGGUUAUAGUGACAGGGUUAGGGAUAUAGUGACAGUGUUAGGGUUAUAGUGACAGGGUUAGGGAUAUAGUGACAGGUUUAGGGUUAUAGUGACAGGGUUAGGGUUAUCGUGACAGGGUUAGGGUUAGCAAUUAUAGUGACAGGGUUAGGGAUAGGGUUAUAAUGAAAGGGUUAGGGUUAUAGUGACAGGGUUAGGGCUAUAGUGACAGGGUUAAGGUUAUAGUGACAGGGUUAGGGUUAUAGUGACAGGGUUAGAGAUAUAGUGACAGGGUUAGGGAUAUUUUGACAGGGUUAGGGUUAUAGUGACAGGGUUAGGGUUAUAGUGACAGGGUUACGGAUAUGGUGACAGGGUUAGGGAUAUAGUGACAGGGUUAUAGUGACAGGGUUAGGGGUUAUAGUUUCAGGGUUAGGGAUAUAGUGACAGGGUUAGGGUUUUCGUGACAGGGUUAGGGUUAUAGUGACAGGGUUAUAGUGACAGGGUUAUAGUGACAGGGUUAGGGUUAUAGUGACAGGGUUAUAGUGACAGGUUUAGG